rnacentral:tRNA from 1 species
GGAGUGUUGGCUCAGUCAGUAGAGCGUUCGCCUCACAACCGGGAGGUCGUGGGUUCGAACCCCGGCCGCGUCA